rnacentral:rRNA from 1 species
UACGUAGGGGGGCAAGCGUUGUCCGGAUUUAUUGGGCGUAAAGAGCGUGUAGGCGGCCAGGUAGGUCCGUUGUGAAAACUCGAGGCUCAACCUCGAGACGUCGGCGGAAACCCUCUGGCUAGAGUCCGGAAGAGGAGAGUGGAAUUCCUGGUGUAGCGGUGAAAUGCGCAGAUAUCAGGAAGAACACCCGUGGCUAAGGCGGCUCUCUAGUACGGUACUGACGCUGAGACGCGAAAGCGUGGGGAGCGAACAGG